rnacentral:lncRNA from 1 species
CCUAAUUUCUUCACACUUUGUUAUCGCUGCACAAAGAUAAGAGUGAUAUCUGUUCAAUUAUACAACGCAAGAAUGUCUGACGAACAGCCGACCACCCCUGCCCCCGCCGAGGGUGAUGCUCCUUCCUGUCCAGAGACUAACACUGCCCUUCAACAGUGCAUAACUGAGAACGGGGAGACGAACUGUGCGGCGUUACUGGAGGCCCACCAAGACUGUCUAAAGAAGCUGGGUUUGCAGGUGUGACAGCUGGUGGUCGAGUGAAUCCCAGUCAGACUUCAAGCUGCAGCCCAAACCACGCCGUCUCGGUUCUCAUUCCUCUGAUGUCUCGUGAUUUGCACCAUCAAGACGCGGUGAUUGGAUAAUAACAAGACGGCUGGUGAGGGAGCGGUUGUGUUUGUACAGUUAAUGUAACAAAAAUUAGGGAAAACCUUUUUUAAUAAAUAAAUCAAACUGUA